GGCUGCAGUGGCACCUGCUAUAUGAGGCUGAGAGGAGAGGCUGCUCAGACGCAGAGAGCCCAGUUGAAAUCUACCCACACUUGCUAUUAAAUCACAAGCCGUCCACACAAAGAACAAAAUCCAACCAACAGCUACGGGCUCUGCCCAAAUUUCAGCUGUCACAGAAUGAGUGAUCCUCAUAGUAUAAUGGAAAUGCAUCAUCUCAGUUUCCCCAUGGCCUGAAUGUCCAUACAAAAUGAGAGCCAGUAGAGAAAAACAGAGGACGUGAGGAGUUUUUAAAAAUUGAGGAAAAGUGGAAGGAAAAGUAAGGAUGAAGGUGAAGAUGAAGGAAUAUGUCAGAGAUGCUAGCACUGGCAUCCCCCACCACACAGUACCAUGUACUGCUAAAGAACUCUAGAACAUACAGGGUGUAGACGGCAGUCUUCUUGGGGAAAAAGAGGCUUCAGGAUUGCAAGAUUUCAGCUACUGUCUCUCCUCGGAGCAGGAUUCCAUCUUUUCCAUGGCUGGGGCCCUUGACACAUGUCACUGUGCACUGCUCUUCUCGCUGGGAUUUCCAAAAGACCUUGGCUCAGGUGUCACUUUUGCAGAAAAGCAUUUACUGACUGUUGACUUGGCCAAAUCCCUGUGCUGUGUUUCCUAGUACGGUAAAUCAACUGUAUCCAGUAGUGGGACAGAUGCAGCAUGAAAGAAGAAAGUUACAAUUGCUUUAUCUGAUGCUGUCACUCAUGCCUGGUGUUGAGAGGCGCACAUUUUAAAAAGUCUAAUAGCUCCGACAUAUCUAGGAAACAGAUGGGAAACAAAUGAAGCAUUGAUGGAUUCGCAAAUUCCAGUUCUUUGAUAUUUGUCUGCCCAGGAAUGGGUGGGACAGAGAAAUGUAAGGGAAUAAUGAGGAUACGGGUGGGGAAAGGCUUGCAAUUUUUCCCGUUCUUCUUUGGAUAUGGACUGAAGGAAGGAUGUGGGGAGGAGGUGUUUAUCUUUUGCUUGUACUCUGAACUUUUCCAAAGUUACUGCAUUCCUUGGGAUAUAAAACUGUAAUCAAGAGUCUCUAAUGGAUAACUGCAAUUAUGCAUUGAGUCAUUCAACAAAUACACAUUAAUACUGACUAAAUUAAGCUCGAAUGGAACUUCAGGGCAAAAGAACAGAGAAAAUAAAAUACCACUAGAGAAGGGAUCUGUGCUCUUUCCUGGACUUAAAUCUCCCACAGCCAGCACGUUUGACAGUUAAACUAGUCAAGCAAAUUAGCACAGGCCCAGAGGAUGAAAUCAAGGUGGGGGCAGGUAAGGUUCACAUAAUAAACACUCUCCCUAGACCCUGGACCUAGGGACAAUACUUCAGGAAGAAUUUUUUUUAUUAAUCUCAUUUAUUCAUUCAUGUAUUCACCAAGUAGUUAUUGAAUACCUCCAUGUGCCAGUCACCUUCAUAGGCUCUGGGAACACAGAGACAAAUGGGGUGCAGCUUUUGCCUUCGAGGACCGCCUGAUAAUGGAGGAGCAUGCUUGUUGUACUGUCCCCACACUUCUUUUUUUUUUAAUUUUACUUUAUGUUCCCGGAUACAUGUGCAGAACUUGCAGGUUUGUUACACGGUAUACGUGUGCCAUGGUGGUUUGCUGCACCUUUUAACCUGUCAUCUAAGUUCUCUCCCCUCGCCUCCCGCCCCCCAACAGGCCCCGGUGUGUUUUUGUUCUUCUCCCUGUGUCCAUGUGUUCUCAUUGUUCAAGCCCCAACUUAUGAGUGAGAACAUGUGGUGUUUGGUUUUCUGUUCCUGUAUUAGUUUGCUGAGGAUGACGACUUUCAGCUCCAUCCAUGUGCCUGCAAAGGACAUGAUCUUGUCCCUUUUUAUGGCUGCAUAGUACGCCCCCUGCACUUCUAAUAAAGAUGGCGCCAGGAAGGAAAGCCCAGUUUGCCUCAUUCCAGAAUGCCCCAACUUCUGCCAAAGAGGAGGUUUCCUCCAUUCACCUGUCCAUUUGGAACACAAUGAAAAUACAGAAUAUGCAGAAUAUGCAGAAAAUACAGAAUAUACAGAAAUAGAUGUAUAUGAAUAUACAUCUAUUUAAGAAAAAUUCACAAGGCCCCAAACUACUCUAGCUUUCCUAGGAAGUAGAGAAGACCCCCUCAAAAAAAAACACUGGCAAACUGAGCCUGCUAUUGGGGAAGGAAAUUCAAGACCAGGAAGGUCAGGACAUGUAUUCAUUAAAUGGCUAUAACACCUCAAUCCAAAUGCAGAGAAAUCUGAUGUACACGCUCCAAGAUAAGCAUCUCUAAGGUACAGUCAGUGGUCAAUUUUUCAACAUUUAUUUAAUAUCUUGCUAUAUUUAUGGCAUCGUGAAAUAGAUGCUGUAUUCCUUCUCUGAAAAUUUUCAAUUGAGGUGGGGACAUGAAUAAAUGUAUUAACCCAUUUAUGCCGGAGGUUGCAAUUUUUGUUUUCUGAAAAAUCAGACCUUGGUGAUGACCUUGAGCGGUAGGAUAUAAAAACUCCCAAAAGCCUAGCGUUUUAAUAAUGGAACACUAGGCAUAAGUAGCUUAAAACAGCAUAGAAAAGUCAUGUAAACUAUACAACAGUCAUGUAGAUAUGGUGCAUAUGGAGACACAGGGUUCCUGGGAAGGGCAAACCAUGGUACAGAGUUUACCAGGGAAGAGUUCCUAGGAGAAAUGAGCUUGGAACUGGAUGUUGGAAGAUCAUCACCAUGUGUGGUGGGGCAAGUCUUCAGCCAAACUUCCCUGGGGCUUUUUUUACUCAUCAAAAAAUGAGUACAAUGCACACAGAUUACAUGAAUUUUGUAAGGAUAAAAUAUGACAACAUUAGUAUGGCAUCCAUGCACAUAGGAGGCACUAAUGAAUAUCACAUUCCUUUCCCUUUUCUAUUUUAUGCUUUCCAUACUUGAUAUUAUUUAAUGAUAGAAAUGUUGAUGAAAAUAAGGAAUAGUACACCUCUCACACUUUCUAUAUUGAGCAUGCAUUACUCUUAACACAGAAAAAAUAAAGCACAAGAUUAAAAUAGUGUUUUAUUUGUAGAGUUUUGGUCUGAAAGAAGUUAACAGGUCCUUAGUAGUCACUUCACAGCAGAAAAUCAAAUGAGGGCUUCCCAGCCACACAGAAAUGUUAUUUUAAUCUGAUGUUCAGUGCCCUUCAGUUGCUAGUUAGACCCGCUUAGACUGAAACAGAUGCCACAAAUGCAAUGCUAUGUUCACCACCCAGUCGCUUUCCAAACACAGGGUAAGGAUUCAGGUC
rnacentral:lncRNA from 1 species